rnacentral:rRNA from 1 species
UGGCAGUCAGAGGCGAUGAAGGGCGUGCUAAUCUGCGAUAAGCGCCGGUAAGGUGAUAUGAACCGUUAUAACCGGCGAUACCCGAAUGGGGAAACCCAGUGUGACUCGUCACACUAUCAUUAACUGAAUCCAUAGGUUAAUGAGGCGAACCGGGGGAACUGAAACAUCUAAGUACCCCGAGGAAAAGAAAUCAACCGAGAUUCCCCCAGUAGCGGCGAGCGAACGGGGAGGAGCCCAGAGCCUGAAUCAGCAUGUGUGUUAGUGGAAGCGUCUGGAAAGGCGCGCGAUACAGGGUGACAGCCCCGUACACAAAAGCGCAUGUGCUGUGAGCUCGAUGAGUAGGGCGGGACACGUGGUAUCCUGUCUGAAUAUGGGGGGACCAUCCUCCAAGGCUAAAUACUCCUGACUGACCGAUAGUGAACCAGUACCGUGAGGGAAAGGCGAAAAGAACCCCGGCGAGGGGAGUGAAAAAGAACCUGAAACCGUGUACGUACAAGCAGUGGGAGCCCCACCACCAAAGCAUUUGCUGUACCGCGUUGACGGAGCGAAGCGACGUCAAACCGAUAAAACAGCAGUGUAAAGUGAGCCGCAGGGCGCUUUGCGCGACAGCGCAAAGGCAGGCGGUUUCGCGUAGCGAAAGCGAAUGCUUUGGGGUGGGGUGACUGCGUACCUUUUGUAUAAUGGGUCAGCGACUUAUAUUCUGUAGCAAGGUUAACCGAAUAGGGGAGCCGGAGGGAAACCGAGUCUUAAUUGGGCGUUAAGUUGCAGGGUAUAGACCCGAAACCCGGUGAUCUAGCCAUGGGCAGGUUGAAGGUUGGGUAACACUAACUGGAGGACCGAACCGACUAAUGUUGAAAAAUUAGCGGAUGACCUGUGGCUGGGGGUGAAAGGCCAAUCAAACCGGGAGAUAGCUGGUUCUCCCCGAAAGCUAUUUAGGUAGCGCCUCGUGAAUUCAUCUCCGGGGGUAGAGCACUGUUUCGGCUAGGGGGCCAUCCCGGCUUACCAACCCGAUGCAAACUGCGAAUACCGGAGAAUGUUAUCACGGGAGACACACGGCGGGUGCUAACGUCCGUCGUGAAGAGGGAAACAACCCAGACCGCCAGCUAAGGUCCCAAAGUCAUGGUUAAGUGGGAAACGAUGUGGGAAGGCCCAGACAGCCAGGAUGUUGGCUUAGAAGCAGCCAUCAUUUAAAGAAAGCGUAAUAGCUCACUGGUCGAGUCGGCCUGCGCGGAAGAUGUAACGGGGCUAAACCAUGCACCGAAGCUGCGGCAGCGACACUGUGUGUUGUUGGGUAGGGGAGCGUUCUGUAAGCCUGUGAAGGUGUGUCGUGAGGCAUGCUGGAGGUAUCAGAAGUGCGAAUGCUGACAUAAGUAACGAUAAAGCGGGUGAAAAGCCCGCUCGCCGGAAGACCAAGGGUUCCUGUCCAACGUUAAUCGGGGCAGGGUGAGUCGACCCCUAAGGCGAGGCCGAAAGGCGUAGUCGAUGGGAAACGGGUUAAUAUUCCCGUACUUGGUGUUACUGCGAAGGGGGGACGGAGAAGGCUAUGUUGGCCGGGCGACGGUUGUCCCGGUUUAAGCGUGUAGGUGUGUGUUCCAGGUAAAUCCGGUUCACUUUAACACUGAGGCGUGACGACGAGGCACUACGGUGCUGAAGCAACAAAUGCCCUGCUUCCAGGAAAAGCCUCUAAGCAUCAGGUAACAUCAAAUCGUACCCCAAACCGACACAGGUGGUCAGGUAGAGAAUACCAAGGCGCUUGAGAGAACUCGGGUGAAGGAACUAGGCAAAAUGGUGCCGUAACUUCGGGAGAAGGCACGCUGACACGUAGGUGAAGUGAUUUACUCAUGGAGCUGAAGUCAGUCGAAGAUACCAGCUGGCUGCAACUGUUUAUUAAAAACACAGCACUGUGCAAACACGAAAGUGGACGUAUACGGUGUGACGCCUGCCCGGUGCCGGAAGGUUAAUUGAUGGGGUCAGCGCAAGCGAAGCUCCUGAUCGAAGCCCCGGUAAACGGCGGCCGUAACUAUAACGGUCCUAAGGUAGCGAAAUUCCUUGUCGGGUAAGUUCCGACCUGCACGAAUGGCGUAAUGAUGGCCAGGCUGUCUCCACCCGAGACUCAGUGAAAUUGAACUCGCUGUGAAGAUGCAGUGUACCCGCGGCAAGACGGAAAGACCCCGUGAACCUUUACUAUAGCUUGACACUGAACAUUGAGCCUUGAUGUGUAGGAUAGGUGGGAGGCUUUGAAGUGUGGACGCCAGUCUGCAUGGAGCCGACCUUGAAAUACCACCCUUUAAUGUUUGAUGUUCUAACGUGGACCCGUUACCCGGGUUGCGGACAGUGUCUGGUGGGUAGUUUGACUGGGGCGGUCUCCUCCUAAAGAGUAACGGAGGAGCACGAAGGUUGGCUAAUCCUGGUCGGACAUCAGGAGGUUAGUGCAAUGGCAUAAGCCAGCUUGACUGCGAGCGUGACGGCGCGAGCAGGUGCGAAAGCAGGUCAUAGUGAUCCGGUGGUUCUGAAUGGAAGGGCCAUCGCUCAACGGAUAAAAGGUACUCCGGGGAUAACAGGCUGAUACCGCCCAAGAGUUCAUAUCGACGGCGGUGUUUGGCACCUCGAUGUCGGCUCAUCACAUCCUGGGGCUGAAGUAGGUCCCAAGGGUAUGGCUGUUCGCCAUUUAAAGUGGUACGCGAGCUGGGUUUAGAACGUCGUGAGACAGUUCGGUCCCUAUCUGCCGUGGGCGCUGGAGAACUGAGGGGGGCUGCUCCUAGUACGAGAGGACCGGAGUGGACGCAUCACUGGUGUUCGGGUUGUCAUGCCAAUGGCACUGCCCGGUAGCUAAAUGCGGAAGAGAUAAGUGCUGAAAGCAUCUAAGCACGAAACUUGCCCCGA